CGGACAAACCAUGAUUGUCGAUGGACACUUAUCCCGACGAGCGACGAACUUCCUCAUUGGUUUUCGCAGCUACGUACGCGUCCCGAAUCUGCCUAAGAAGCUACCAAUCCAGCCAUGGUUUAUGCGUGAGUGUCUUGUAGGUAGCUCAUACUUACGCUUGCCAUUCAUAACAGGCUCAUGAUACACAGCUCUUUGCUUUGACUGCUCGUGAGCAUGCAUGAUCAUUCGAGCGUGUGUGUCUGUGUGUGCGUAGUUUGCGUGAUUGAAUUGCAAAGUCAUGAGCCUUUCUCUUCUUUUGCUCUUUUUCAUUUAAAUUCCGUGGGAAAUGAUAGCACAGUCCUGCUGUUAGUUAGAUUAAGAGCUGCAUAUGGAUGACUUUGCCCGUGACGCUG